rnacentral:lncRNA from 1 species
AUAAUGGUUUUACAGCUAGUUUAAUUUCUAAUUAAUAAGCUGGUUACUGUCUCAUUGUCUGCCCAUCUCUGUUCAUGCAUGUUUCUAGAUGCAAUAAAAUAUCUAUCUUUUCUGUAUACCUAUAUAUAGCAUAUAUAUGUACAUGCACUGAAAAUGACAGUCCAAGCCAAGUCUUUGAAGGAUUCGAUCAGGAUAAAGAAAGCAAUGCCUGCCUGCCUGUGGAAGAAUUCCUUGCAACUUGCAUUGUGUCCAUAUUACUGAUAAUCGAUAAUCAAUCACUUUAACAAACUUUGAUUAGUUUGACGACCGAAAUUCCCAGUAAUAAUGGUUCUAUGAUAGGGGAGGCAGCAGAUAGAAUCUCCCAUCCCACAUGCAGGAUGUUAUGGUCCACCAAAAGUCUGCGUGGUUGAAAUUUGAAGCUGGGAAAUCCCAGGUCCAAAAUUGGCCAAGAUUCAGGAUAUUUUUCACGGCAUCUUUGCAUCGUUUGCGUGGACAGUGAAGUCACAAUCACAGUGCUGUCUGAUGUUAUUUUUUAAAAGCAAAAGGGCAUGGACUGUGCCAUUCAGUUGUUGAGAAGAAAUGAUCAGCAAAGCUAAGGUCAAAUUGAAGGUAGCCAGCAGUAGCUGUGGUUGCAAAUUCAAAUACACUAGUGGUAGGUGGAUGUGUGUUUUUUUAAAUAUAUAUAUUUAUUAUCUGUUGUUAUCCCUCUCCAGGGCUUAACUAGUCUGGUCUGAUCUUAUCUUGUAAUCCAUCCAUAUAUAGGGUCACAUGAAACCAUGGGUUUGAAUGAUCUUUGGAAGGAAAAAGAAGUUUGCUUUUGUUUGAGAGAAAUUAAGUCUUGCACGUGAACCUUGGCGAUGUCGACCGACCUUAGCUUACUGUCACAGCUAGCUAGCCAGCUAACGACGACCAUGGAGUGUAUAUACAGUUAAUGGAUACAACUAUAUACAGUAUAGUGACUAUAGUCUAUGUAACAGCUAUAUCGUUGCUGCCAAUGACAUGAACAUAAUAGUGUCGUUGAAAAUACAAUUAACACUUAGUUAUAUAUAGCUAGCGGCUCUGGUAUAUAUAUAUAUAUAUAUAUAUAUAUAUAUAUACUUGAGAGAUAUAUAUGAUAAACAAAUUAAAUUGUUGGCAACAGGUUGCAAGCAUAGUAAAGGGGUCAAGCUCAGCAACUAGCCGAGCUGAGAGCGAGGCCAAGGAGGAGGACAAUCAACAAGCAAAGGUAGCAAGAGCCAAGAAACCGGCGGCAAGCUAGCAUAGUGACGAUGUGAACAAGCUAGGUGGCAGAUAAACAUACAGAAGAGUCAACUUGCAUCAUUGCAUGGUAUACAAGUAAAAACAUCUUCAAUUUGUCUCUCUCUCUCUCUCUCUCUCAAGGAAAUUAAAAAGAAGAAGAGAAGAAAAGUAAACAUCCAUCUUUGAAUUGUGUUGGUACCUAGCUUGGACUUUGGGAAGCAUGCAUGCAUAUGCUUCCAGCGGUGUAUGAGGACAAUGGAGAUAAACUAUUAUAUACACAUGAACCUUGAUUGUUGUCAAAUAAACUAGCUUACUAGCUUGGACUUUGCACAUGCACGUUAUGUAGUAUGUAUAUAUGUAUAUAUACAACUUGCUAUAUUAUUAUAAUUAUUUAUUUGUUGAACUACUAGUACUGUUAGUAUACAUGCAUAUACAUAUAUAUAUAUAUAUAUAUAUGUGUAUAGUUUUCGUUGGUUAACUGGCACCUAAUGAAGAGAAUCUCAUGUCGAUCAUCUUUUCAAAACUCAAGCAACCCUUCUUGGACAGCUAUGUAUAUAUGUCCUUAUCAUGUACGCAAGAUCAUUGACGAAUCGCUACGGCCUCGCUAGCUCUUACGUAGCUGUCACUACCGCUAGUCACGACACGGUAGAAUGAAGAGAUUAUUUAUGGUGUAACAUUGUUAAUUAUCAUAUACUUAUGCAUAUACUCUUGUAUAUAAAUUA